rnacentral:snRNA from 1 species
UCGCUUUGGCAGCACAUAUACUAAACCUGAAGUGACACAGAGAAGAUUAGCAUGGCCCCUGUGCAGGGAUGACACACACAUUGGUGAAGUAUUCCAUAGUUUU